GGGUUGUGAGGUUAAGCGACUAAGCGUACACGGUGGAUGCCCUGGCAGUCAGAGGCGAUGAAGGACGUGCUAAUCUGCGAUAAGCGCCGGUAAGGUGAUAUGAACCGUUAUAACCGGCGAUUUCCGAAUGGGGAAACCCAGUGUGAUUCGUCACACUAUCAUUAACUGAAUCCAUAGGUUAAUGAGGCGAACCGGGGGAACUGAAACAUCUAAGUACCCCGAGGAAAAGAAAUCAACCGAGAUUCCCCCAGUAGCGGCGAGCGAACGGGGAGGAGCCCAGAGCCUGAAUCAGCAUGUGUGUUAGUGGAAGCGUCUGGAAAGGCGCGCGAUACAGGGUGACAGCCCCGUACACAAAAGCGCAUGUGCUGUGAGCUCGAUGAGUAGGGCGGGACACGUGGUAUCCUGUCUGAAUAUGGGGGGACCAUCCUCCAAGGCUAAAUACUCCUGACUGACCGAUAGUGAACCAGUACCGUGAGGGAAAGGCGAAAAGAACCCCGGCGAGGGGAGUGAAAAAGAACCUGAAACCGUGUACGUACAAGCAGUGGGAGCACCCUUCGGGGUGUGACUGCGUACCUUUUGUAUAAUGGGUCAGCGACUUAUAUUCUGUAGCAAGGUUAACCGUAUAGGGGAGCCGGAGGGAAACCGAGUCUUAAUUGGGCGUUAAGUUGCAGGGUAUAGACCCGAAACCCGGUGAUCUAGCCAUGGGCAGGUUGAAGGUUGGGUAACACUAACUGGAGGACCGAACCGACUAAUGUUGAAAAAUUAGCGGAUGACCUGUGGCUGGGGGUGAAAGGCCAAUCAAACCGGGAGAUAGCUGGUUCUCCCCGAAAGCUAUUUAGGUAGCGCCUCGUGAAUUCAUCUCCGGGGGUAGAGCACUGUUUCGGCUAGGGGGCCAUCCCGGCUUACCAACCCGAUGCAAACUGCGAAUACCGGAGAAUGUUAUCACGGGAGACACACGGCGGGUGCUAACGUCCGUCGUGAAGAGGGAAACAACCCAGACCGCCAGCUAAGGUCCCAAAGUCAUGGUUAAGUGGGAAACGAUGUGGGAAGGCCCAGACAGCCAGGAUGUUGGCUUAGAAGCAGCCAUCAUUUAAAGAAAGCGUAAUAGCUCACUGGUCGAGUCGGCCUGCGCGGAAGAUGUAACGGGGCUAAACCAUGCACCGAAGCUGCGGCAGCGAACGUAUCACCCAAGACAACUUUACGGAGUUGACGAUUGACGGAGCGAAGCGACGUCAAAGCGUUCAUUAAAGUCGAGUUGGCUUAGGGAUACGUUCGUUGGGUAGGGGAGCGUUCUGUAAGCCUGUGAAGGUGUGUCGUGAGGCAUGCUGGAGGUAUCAGAAGUGCGAAUGCUGACAUAAGUAACGAUAAAGCGGGUGAAAAGCCCGCUCGCCGGAAGACCAAGGGUUCCUGUCCAACGUUAAUCGGGGCAGGGUGAGUCGACCCCUAAGGCGAGGCCGAAAGGCGUAGUCGAUGGGAAACGGGUUAAUAUUCCCGUACUUGGUGUUACUGCGAAGGGGGGACGGAGAAGGCUAUGUUGGCCGGGCGACGGUUGUCCCGGUUUAAGCGUGUAGGUGUGUGUUCCAGGUAAAUCCGGUUCACUUUAACACUGAGGCGUGACGACGAGGCACUACGGUGCUGAAGCAACAAAUGCCCUGCUUC
rnacentral:rRNA from 1 species